AUUCGUGAAAUUAGCUUCUUGGCCAUGAAGUUUUAAAAGGAGUGGAUGCAUGUUGUCGAGAUACGUUGAGGAUGACAGCUGCCUCCAAGUUCUUCUUGGCUUCCUCGUUGAGGAUGACAGCUGCCUCCAAGUUCUUCUUGGCUUCCUCGCGGCCUAUCCACUAUAAGGGCUCCGGGAACCAAAUCUCCUUCAUCAUCGUGUUAGUUGUUUGACACACUUUCUCACAGAAAUAAAAAGGGGAUACUGUGACCAAACCGGCCUACUGAUGUCCAUACAGUAGCCCUACACAAGACCAUGUCUGUCACAUUGGUGCCAUGACCGAGUUGGACCUUCGCCCAACCGGGAUCAUUCUGGACAUCAUCUGCGUUGUGAUAAUCAUCAAAGCCUGACUGCCCACAACACCUGGAUCAGAGAGCCAGUCCAAUGAAAUCUGUCAAGAAAACCGCAGAUAAACAAGGCCUGUAUCAUCAUUGUAGUCUAGUACUACACUUUUAUUAUACACAAAGACAGAACAUGACAUGCUUGUAUCAUUGCAAAAAAAAAAACCUAACUAUACAAUCAGUCAAGCACUCUCAGACGCACUCACUUACUAUACAACUCACCACACACGUUAUCCAUUACAAUGUGUUCAUUCAGCUCUAACA